rnacentral:rRNA from 1 species
GUGGGGAAUAUUGGACAAUGGGCGAAAGCCUGAUCCAGCCAUGCCGCGUGAGUGAUGAAGGCCUUAGGGUUGUAAAGCUCUUUCAGUAGGGAAGAUAAUGACGGUACCUACAGAAGAAGCCCCGGCUAACUUCGUGCCAGCAGCCGCGGUAAUACGAAGGGGGCUAGCGUUGUUCGGAUUUACUGGGCGUAAAGCGAACGUAGGCGGAUUGGUCAGUUAGAGGUGAAAUCCUGGAGCUCAACUCCAGAACUGCCUUUAAUACUGCCAGUCUAGAGUCCAGAAGAGGUGAGUGGAACUCCUAGUGUAGAGGUGGAAUUCGUAGAUAUUAGGAAGAACACCAGUGGCGAAGGCGGCUCACUGGUCUGGUACUGACGCUGAGGUGCGAAAGCGUGGGGAGCAAACAGGAUUAGAUACCCCGGUAGUCC